CAAUUCCAUGACCUUCAGCAGCUGUGCAGAGGAAAUGAGCUUUCCCAUGAUAACUAGGCAGGAAGUCAAAACUAAUCUAAAGAAAGCAUACUGAAGAACUGAAGUAACCUGGCUUGGUGAAUGAAGUGUAUACA
rnacentral:lncRNA from 1 species